rnacentral:rRNA from 1 species
GGAUUAGAUACCCUGGUAGUCCACACCGUAAACGAUGAAUGCCAGUCGUCGGGCAGUAUACUGUUCGGUGACACACCUAACGGAUUAAGCAUUCCGCCUGGGGAGUACGGCCGCAAGGUUAAAACUCAAAGAAAUUGACGGGGGCCCGCACAAGCGGUGGAGCAUGUGGUUUAAUUCGAAGCAACGCGCAGAACCUUACCAACCCUUGACAUCCUUGUCGCGGUUUCCAGAGAUGGAUUCCUUCAGUUCGGCUGGACAAGUGACAGGUGCUGCAUGGCUGUCGUCAGCUCGUGCUG